rnacentral:rRNA from 1 species
GUGUCAGCCGCCGCGGUAAUACAGAGGUCUCAAGCGUUGUUCGGAUUCAUUGGGCGUAAAGGGUGCGUAGGUGGCGCUGUAAGUCAGGUGUGAAAUUUCGGAGCUCAACUUCGAAACUGCAUUUGAUACUGCGGUGCUUGAGGACUGGAGAGGAGACUGGAAUUUACGGUGUAGUAGUGAAAUGCGUAGAGAUCGUAAGGAAGACCAGUGGCGAAGGCGGGUCUCUGGACAGUUCCUGACACUGAGGCACGAAGGCCAGGGGAGCAAACGGGAUUAGAUACCCCUGUAGUCC